CCUAUGGGUGGCUGCAGUAGGGAAUAUUGCUCAAUGGGGGAAACCCUGAAGCAGCAACGCCGCGUGGAGGAUGAAGGUUUUCGGAUUGUAAACUCCUUUUGUUAGAGAAGAUAAUGACGGUAUCUAACGAAUAAGCACCGGCUAACUCCGUGCCAGCAGCCGCGGUAAUACGUAGGAGGCAAGCGUUAUCCGGAAUGACUGGGCGUAAAGGGUGCGUAGGUGGUUUGACAAGUUGGUAGCGUAACUCCGAGGCUUAACCUCGGCACUACUACCAAAACUGUUGGACUCGAGUGCAGGAGGGGCAAAUGGAAUUCCUAGUGUAGCGGUGGAAUGCGUAGAUAUUAGGAGGAACACCAGUGGCGAAGGCGAUUUGCUGGACUGUAACUGACACUGAGGCACGAAAGCGUGGGGAGCAAACAGGAUUAGAUACCCCAGUAGUC
rnacentral:rRNA from 1 species